GAUGAACGCUGGCGGCGUGCCUAAUACAUGCAAGUCGAGCGAACAGACGAGGAGCUUGCUCCUCUGACGUUAGCGGCGGACGGGUGAGUAACACGUGGAUAACCUACCUAUAAGACUGGGAUAACUUCGGGAAACCGGAGCUAAUACCGGAUAAUAUAUUGAGCCGCAUGGUUCAAUAGUGAAAGACGGUUUUGCUGUCACUUAUAGAUGGAUCCGCGCCGCAUUAGCUAGUUGGUAAGGUAACGGCUUACCAAGGCAACGAUGCGUAGCCGACCUGGGAGGGUGAUCGGCCACACUGGAACUGAGACACGGUCCAGACUCCUACGGGAGGCAGCAGUAGGGAAUCUUCCGCAAUGGGCGAAAGCCUGACGGAGCAACGCCGCGUGAGUGAUGAAGGUCUUCGGAUCGUAAAACUCUGUUAUUAGGGAAGAACAAAUGUGUAAGUAACUAUGCACGUCUUGACGGUACCUAAUCAGAAAGCCACGGCUAACUACGUG
rnacentral:rRNA from 1 species